GUAAUGAUGAAUCUAACAAAAUAAACCAGCCAAUGCCCACUUUCCUUUAACUAACUGCUCUCUCCUUCGUUUCCCUCCUCAACAACACAUCACACAGAAGAUGCAUAAUUCUUGACCUUCAAUAUCAUCAGACACAUCUCUCGAAAUCCCAAGCCAAGCGCUACCACCAGUCACAAUGAAGCAGCUACACAAACAAUCAAGCGCAAAUCACCACCGUAGAGACGAAGAAAUCCCCACAUCACAACCAUCACCGUACUCUCCAAAAACCCUAAAACACCCGAGAUCUCUCCCUAGAUCCAUCAACUACCUCUUCAAAGAACAGCGCCUUCUCUUCAUUCUCGUUGGAAUCUUAAUCGGCUCCACUUUCUUCAUCCUCCAGCCAACUCUCUCCCGCCUCAGCCCAUCGGAGGCCCAGUCUUCUCUCUCCAGAUCCAUCCCCAUCCAUUCUUCAUCAUUAUUCCAGAAACAGUCUUUUUCUGGCCCCGGCGGUCGUGUUCCAGCUGGCAUUACUCGGCGUAGGCUGCGGAUAGUUGUUACUGGUGGGGCUGGUUUUGUUGGGAGUCAUUUAGUUGACAAGUUGAUUUCGCGUGGAGAUGAGGUUAUUGUGAUUGAUAACUUUUUUACUGGUAGAAAGGAUAAUUUGGUCCAUUUAUUUGGGAAUCCAAGAUUUGAGUUAAUCAGACAUGAUGUUGUUGAGCCUAUUUUGUUAGAAGUCGAUCACAUCUAUCAUUUAGCUUGCCCUGCUUCUCCUGUUCAUUAUAAGUACAAUCCUGUCAAGACCAUUAAGACGAAUGUGAUGGGUACACUUAAUAUGUUGGGUUUAGCAAAGAGGGUUGGCGCAAGGUUUUUGCUUACUAGUACAAGUGAGGUGUAUGGAGACCCACUUGAGCACCCGCAAAAGGAGACUUACUGGGGAAAUGUUAAUCCAAUAGGCGAGAGGAGUUGCUAUGAUGAAGGAAAACGGACAGCGGAAACUUUAACUAUGGAUUAUCACCGAGGUGCAGAUGUUGAGGUGCGCAUUGCUCGCAUUUUUAAUACAUAUGGACCUCGCAUGUGUUUGGAUGAUGGCCGUGUUGUUAGCAAUUUUGUUGCUCAGGCCAUUCGCAAACAACCUUUGACUGUUUAUGGUGAUGGGAAACAAACCAGGAGCUUCCAAUAUGUUUCUGAUUUGGUUGAUGGACUGGUCGCGUUAAUGGAAAGCGAACAUGUGGGGCCUUUCAAUCUUGGCAACCCGGGGGAAUUCACCAUGCUGGAACUUGCUGAGGUCGUCAAAGAAACAAUCGAUUCAAGUGCAACAAUAGAAUUCAAGCCAAAUACUGCAGAUGAUCCACAUAAGAGGAAACCAGAUAUCAGCAAAGCGAAGGAGCUACUGAACUGGGAGCCAAAAAUAUCAUUGAGAGAUGGUUUGCCCCUCAUGGUGAACGAUUUCCGGAAUCGCAUUUUGAAUGAAGAUGAAGGGAAGGGAUUUAAAUGAAAUAGCUGAAAAACCUGCGUGUAUAGUGUGAAGACCUCAUCUGUAUCCUGAUUCUUUUCUUGACUGUCAUAAUUUACGUCACUGGAGUUUUGUAGCAGUAUCCCUACAGGAAGAUGUCUCUGUUAUUUGGGAAAAUGAAGGAUUAAAAAGAUAGUAGCCGGAGCUUGCAAGUAGGCAGACAGGGUCUGAUUUGAUCCCCACAAGUCGUAUAUCACAGUGAGUGAGAAUGAUAAAGCUACUUCACUAUAAUUAAAUUCACAUAUUCCUUCAAAACUCACUAAACUCUUUAUUUUAAAUUCAUAUUUUUAUUUCAA